CCUAAUCGUUCCUGUAAGUCGCUCUGUAUAAGAGCGUCUGCUAAAUUACUAAAA
rfam:Salmo salar isolate Sally breed double haploid chromosome ssa14, whole genome shotgun sequence.